rnacentral:rRNA from 1 species
AUACGUAGGGGGCAAGCGUUAUCCGGAUUUACUGGGUGUAAAGGGAGCGCAGGCGGUCCUGCAAGUCUGGUGUGAAAGCCCGGGGCUCAACCCCGGGACUGCAUUGGAAACUGUGGGACUUGAGUGUCGGAGGGGCAAGUGGAAUUCCUAGUGUAGCGGUGAAAUGCGUAGAUAUUAGGAGGAACACCAGUGGCGAAGGCGGCUUGCUGGUCUGUAACUGACGCUGAGGCUCGAAAGCGUGGGGAGC